CAAACCACCCAUCCCAAUUAAUCGAUUUCUGUUAUCUCCUUCUCCUACACUGUCCCAAUAAUUUCCGGAGAAUAAAAAAUAAGCACUUACAUGUGUAAAAUAACCUCCAAAUACCAGUUUUGAUCUGUAAAUCCGGAUAAUUGUGCUGCAAUAAUAUUGUUUUUCAAGUACAAUACAGCCCCCAAAAUUAAAGCCACCAACAAUCCACCUUCACACAAUAAAGGAAUUUAACCAGUUCGAUGAAAUUCUUCCCUAGGAUCGUCGCUUUUCGCAAGUACAGCAUUAUUUCCAUCUUGUUGAUAACUAUAGUCACGUUUAUUGCCAUAGUUAACGUCGCACUUGCCAUAAAAUACAGCGUCGCGUCAUCAUCACCAAGUGGAAAUGAAUCCGCCAGAUAUUUUAUAUUUGGCAGUAUCGUACUGGUCCUUGUGGAUGUGGGUAUCCUUAAAUUGGUCUGCUGUCGAAAUGUUGAUACCGCUUGGUAUAAAAAUGAUUCCCAUCCGUAAGAAACUGCUACCGAUGUGGUAAUACAUUAAUACCGAACUACAUAAUACACAGUGUAUUAUACACGGUAAUACAUACGCAUGUAUCAAUAACACUUUGGAAGACUUGAAUAUGAGAACGGCUUGGUAUUAUAUUAAUACUGGAUUUAUAAGGGCUUAGGAAUAGCAAAACACUCGAGUGCAGAUGAUCCCCCUGUGGCCCUCCCGGGGGGAAUGAGUAGCAUUUGGGACGAACCAGCGGAAAACGUCAAUACCGAAGACGAUAUCCAAAGACAAGCCAAAACUGAUGAAGUCGUGCGAAUCAUCAGAGAACUGUUCUUCACGUUUGUCAACGAGGCGAGGAAAGUUCAAGAUGAGGAGGACAAAACCACGCUACAAGCCUAGAGUUAUCGAUGCACAAGACUUAUUUUAAUUUAAAACUUUAACGAACAUACAUAUUUAGAACAUUUAAAUACCUCGGUUAUGUAUUCGAGCCAUAAAUAUAUAGUUGAAGUUAUCAUUCCAAAAUUAAAUUUCGAACUUACUACGGCAUUGUGUAUCGAUGUAAUUUUAGUAAAACAUACAUAAAAAAUCUACUUAUGUACAUAUGUACUGAUUGCUCAACUUUUUACUAAUAAAAAGUAUUCGGUAUUUAUACGAACGAGGUUCAAAUAAUUAUAUGUAAAUAUGUAUGUAAAUAUAAGAAAAUUCUGAAAAACUGAAAAAGUCCACGGGUAAAGUUUUGACCCCAACCGUCCCAAGGUGACACCUGGGAGGUGUGUCUAUUAUAAAAUAAAUAUGGGCUGGAUACAAACUAAGCCUUGAUCUACGCUCAUCAAUAUAAUUUACCACAGGCUUUAUGUAAAGAUGUAUCAGUAUUCACAAACUCUAAAUAAACUAAAAUUUUGGACAAUGA